rnacentral:rRNA from 1 species
AUUCUCAGUUCGGAUUGUAGGCUGAAACUCGCCUACAUGAAGCUGGAGUUACUAGUAAUCGCAGAUCAGAAUGCUGCGGUGAAUGCGUUCCCGGGUCUUGUACACACCGCCCGUCACACCACGGAAGUUGGGGGCGCCCGAAGCCACUUAGCUAACCCAUUUGGGAAGCGAGUGUCGAAGGUGAAAUCAAUAACUGGGGUGAAGUCGUAACAAGGUAAC